rnacentral:rRNA from 1 species
GACGAACGCUGGCGGCGUGCUUAACACAUGCAAGUCGAACGGAAAGGCCCUGCUUGCAGGGUACUCGAGUGGCGAACGGGUGAGUAACACGCGGGUGAUCUGCCCUGCACUUCGGGAUAAGCCUGGGAAACUGGGUCUAAUACCGGAUAGGAGCCAUUUUUAGUGUGAUGGUUGGAAAGUUUUUUCGGUGUAGGAUGAGCUCGCGGCCUAUCAGCUUGUUGGUGGGGUAAUGGCCUACCAAGGCGGCGACGGGUAGCCGGCCUGAGAGGGUGGACGGCCACAUUGGGACUGAGAUACGGCCCAGACUCCUACGGGAGGCAGCAGUGGGGAAUAUUGCACAAUGGGCGCAAGCCUGAUGCAGCGACGCCGCGUGGGGGAUGACGGCCUUCGGGUUGUAAACUCCUUUCGCUAGGGACGAAGCUUUUUGUGACGGUACCUAGAUAAGAAGCACCGGCUAACUACGUG